CCUCCACCCCAGCAAUGAGCAGAACCCCAAAUCCUCACUGCACAGCUUCUCAGGGAUUACAGCAGCCUGCAAUUCCCACUCUGGACCUGAUUUCCCAAAAAUCCACCUCGUUUUUCCCCAAGAGUGCAGAAUAACAAAAGCCUUCCAGGAGCAGAGCUGAUGGCAAAGCUCCUGUGCCCCUGAGCACGAAGAGGAUCCCUAGAGCAGCAGCCCACCAGCUCCAGCAGGAGCUCAGAAGCACAAACUUCUACCAGCACGUUUCAGACAGACCCGAGGACGCUUUAAUUAACACUUUAAUUACCAUCAACUCACCUACAACACCUCCCGCCAGGGGACAGAAACUCUGACCCUCAGCAGCACAGAGCCUCUGGACCCCUCCAAACCUGCACCUUCCCAGGCUGAGAAUAAUUCGGGAAUAAUCCCCGGGAAAAACAGAAUUCCAAAGCAAGCACGGUGGCCGUGAGGAUCCCGGAGCAGGGCACGGCGCUGCCCGAGCUCUCGGGCUCCCCGGGCAUCGCCCCCGGUGCCCGCAGCUCCAGCGCCACGUGCCCGGGGCUCCGAGAGACGGCACCGGGCAGCGGCACGGCCGGGAGCGGCGGCAAGGGCACCGAGAGGGGCAGGACGGGAACCGGA